rnacentral:lncRNA from 1 species
UAGAGAAAGAAUCAGCACUGUAAAGCAUAGCUGCGGUUUUUUCUUCCAGUUCUCCUAGUUUCUGUCCUCUUUCAUCCAGUGCCAACCGGGCUCGUGCUAAUUCCCCAACUACACCAGAUGCUGCUCCUUUGACACCUUCAAUACCUCCAGGCCCUGGAAUAUGCUGGGCAAGACUUCUUGAUGCCUUCCCAGAUGCUGAUUCUCCAAAGAGUUCUUCUCUGUCAAGUGACUGUG